rnacentral:lncRNA from 1 species
AUGGAAUUCCAAGCAUCCUUAAAAAUUAUUAGAUUCAGAUGUUCAAAUGUGGAAAUGUCCCUGAGACGUAUGAACCGGGAAGGCAGGAAGAGCAGAAGAAUGAACAGUAAAAAUCCACAUCGUAUAAAUACUAAAAGGGUUAUUUUCUGCUUGACCUCGGGUCACAGAGCUGCCAGAUGUGGUGAAGGAGGAGUCCCCCGGCAGCCAGGGCACGGGACAAAGCGCACGUCCCAGCCGAGCCCCGAGCACCCAGCCCAGGCUCGGGUCGAGGGUCACACCUCGGGGAACCUGGGCUCGCGGCGACCCGGCAGUGUGCAUGCGCAGAAGGACCGCCUGCGCGCUCAGAGUUGCUGGGUAGGAGUCCCUGCGUGGGAGUCCCGGCGAUCGCCUAGGGGCUGAGCGCUGUCCUAGCCCAGCUCUGGCAGGCGCCGCAUACGGCGUAUGGGACGCCUUCUCAAGCUGGGAUUUCUUAUCUAAGCCCACUCGCCAGCGGGCAUCCCCUGCCCCCAGAUAAUAAUCAGGAUGCGGAGACAGUGGGCCCUUUUCUCUUUUCUAUACGUUCCAAAGGUUUCACAAUGUGCCUGCGUUAUUUUUAUUAUCGUAGAAAUCUAUUUUACAAAAUGAAUCAUAGAUGUAAGUCUGUUCAUAUGAAGGCAUCAUAUCUACUGGAUUCUACAUGGCCGACCGCCUCUGCGUGCACUGAACCAAGGGGUGGCUGAGGAUUGUUUGACCUUUCCCGGGAGGAAGGGCUGGGCAGAGUGGGGACGGCAGGGGAGGCGAAGGACAGGGGGCGGAAAAGAGAAGAGCUGGGGUGCGCACAUGCUCUGUGUGUGUGUGUGUGUGUGUGUGUGUGUGUGUGCGCGCGCGCGCGCGCGCGCCCGCGCGCACUCAGUCGCUAAGUUGUGUCGUACUCUGCGACCGCAUGGACCGUAGCCCGCCAGGCUCCUCUCUCCAGAAAUUUUCCAGGCAAGAAUACUGGAGCGGGUUGCCAUUUCCUCUUCCAGGGGAUCUUCCCCCACAGGUCCACUUAACUGUAUUUUCCCACUCUCAUCGAUCUGCACAGAAUUUGCCGUGAAUCUGCUCUACUCACCUCCAUCUGGCUGAUUUUAUAAUGCUCUCACACUGAGUCUAUAUGCGAACAUUUACCCGGGAAGCCGGGAUACACCGGCGUGGUGACCCCUCCUGCGAGGCGCUAGAUGGCAGACGCGGCCAGGACAUCUCUGUGGUCACAGCCUCAGGUCCCAAGACGCCCAAGGAGGGGACUCGUCCCACCCGGCUGUGUGGCUGCACAGUGUGUCUAAAACCAUGUCGCCGCGUCAGUCUUCUCUCCAAGUUCUGCCUCUUGAUGAAAGAGAGAGAAAGAACCUACAACUUUAAGUCAGUGUUGGCCUCAUUAGGC